rnacentral:lncRNA from 1 species
UUCGUGACAUUUAGUCGUCGGGAUUAUAAUUUUAUUCUUCUCUUUUAACAUGCUUGGCCAAGUUUUUACCUUACGUUGGCUAUGUUACAAUCAUCAUGACCGAAAAUCCUAUCAUAAAGUACGCUCUUAUUGGUGCUUUGGGUUUACUCGCGAUUACAUCCAAAGAUUGAUAAUCCUCUGAUUUUUCAUACACUGGGAUGAUACAAAUUUCGUCCCAGUCGAGUAGUAUUUAUGAACCGAUUCAGUGAAAUCAAAAUGCAGCAUUGUUAGUUUCGACUUUACAUAUAGCUGCCCGGUUUUCUGGGUCAAGUUGGAAAUGAAAUAAUAUUUUAUUUAAAAUAAUUUAAACAUUAGAUCUUGCUCAAAGGGUUAAAUUUUGAAAAUCUUGUAAAUGACCAAACUUUUCUCGUAUGUCUCUCGAAGAUCGUCAACGGACCGACUCUCAGAAUGUGAAAGAGGCCAACUGGGAAGAGACGGUUGAAACCCGAAUCUUUCGAGAAGGCAUCAUUCAUCCGUCAGAUGUUGCUUACCAAGUGUUUGAUAAAAUUCGUGACAUUUAGUCGUCGGGAUUAUAAUUUUAUUCUCCUCUUUUAACAUGCUUGGGCAAGUCGAAAG